GUUCCCACGGUUGAGAGUUGCGUAGCCUUUGCGUAUUGGUUUUCUCUCGCAGUCAAUAUUUGAUUACGGGUUUGAAGAGUGGGUCUACCUUGUCACAGAGGGGAUAAAUUGUAACUUCCACUAAAGAGGCAGUCAU
rfam:Hubei tombus-like virus 6 strain WGML12775 hypothetical protein 1, hypothetical protein 2, and hypothetical protein 3 genes, complete cds.